UCGAGGGGUAUAUGUCUUCGGAUAUAGAGACCGGCGCACGGGUGCGUAACGCGUAUGCAAUCUACCUUUUACAGAGGGAUAGCCCAGAGAAAUUUGGAUUAAUACCUCAUAGUAUAGUGACUCGGCAUCGAGAUACUAUUAAAGUCACAACGGUAAAAGAUGAGCAUGCGUCCCAUUAGCUAGUUGGUAAGGUAACGGCUUACCAAGGCUACGAUGGGUAGGGGUCCUGAGAGGGAGAUCCCCCACACUGGUACUGAGACACGGACCAGACUCCUACGGGAGGCAGCAGUGAGGAAUAUUGGACAAUGGGCGCAAGCCUGAUCCAGCCAUGCCGCGUGCAGGAUGACGGUCCUAUGGAUUGUAAACUGCUUUUGUACGAGAAGAAACACUCCUUCGUGAAGGAGCUUGACGGUAUCGUAAGAAUAAGGAUCGGCUAACUCCGUGCCAGCAGCCGCGGUAAUACGGAGGAUCCAAGCGUUAUCCGGAAUCAUUGGGUUUAAAGGGUCCGUAGGCGGUUUAGUAAGUCAGUGGUGAAAGCCCAUCGCUCAACGGUGGAACGGCCAUUGAUACUGCUAAACUUGAAUUAUUAGGAAGUAACUAGAAUAUGUAGUGUAGCGGUGAAAUGCUUAGAGAUUACAUGGAAUACCAAUUGCGAAGGCAGGUUACUACUAAUGGAUUGACGCUGAUGGACGAAAGCGUGGGUAGCGAACAGGAUUAGAUACCCUGGUAGUCCACGCCGUAAACGAUGGAUACUAGCUGUUGGAAGCA
rnacentral:rRNA from 1 species